rnacentral:tRNA from 1 species
GGAGAGGUGGCAGAGUGGUUGAAUGCGGCGGUCUCGAAAACCGCUAUGGCGGCAACGUCAUCGAGGGUUCGAAUCCCUCCCUCUCCG